UUUGCGCACCAAGGUAAACAAAACGAUGCAUAACAGCCAAAGGAAAGCUCCUGGACGUGCGACGUGGUUUAGCUCAGCUAUGUCGUAUAAGAGAAUUCCUUGUAACCAAAGCCAAAAUGUGUUGCAUCGCACUAGUAAAGAAAGCAAUCGAGUUAGACAUUUCCCAAGAACGCUAGGAAAACUAGACGACCCUUGGCAGUAUGCGAUGGUUGAGGAUGUUUACUGAAUUAGACAAAGAUUUGUAAAUGGUAGCAUAAAGCGAAAGAGCGAACUCGUUCGGUUGCGUCCGUAUUGACUGACAGGCGUCGUACCGUACCUCUAAACCCGUUAGAAGCUGGAGUUACGCAGGCAUUGCUGAUGGCCGUAUGCUAAUCUUUUUCGAAUGGAUGAGCGGACGCGUGCCACAGACCACGUACGCACAAGUUCAAAAGAGCCAGCAGGAUAAAAAACUUGGGCAAACCUCGCGCUCAGGUGACCUCGAGCUUCGAAGAUGAAGAAAUUGAAGUGCUUACUUUCGAUGGUGACCGAUGAGGCGGCGGCCCAUCAUCAGAAGCUAACAGUCGUAAUAAUAACAAGGGUGCGGUCUUGUUUGACUGAAACAUUCAAAUGCCCGUGGCCUACAAAAAAAAAAUGGUUAUUACUGAACACGAACAAGCUUUCUUUGGAAGAUUCUGCAACAGAAAAAAAAAACCAGUUGUUAUAGGCUACGCGUUCGAUCCAGCUAUUUCCACUUUUGUUACCAAAGAUUUCGUUGAAAGUAUGCCAUCGCUGUAUGCACACACAUCCCCUAUAUGGAAGUUCAUGUAUGUAUCUCGUACAAAAAGAAAGGGUUAAAGAAAAAAAAACUUUCGAAUGGCAACGAGUCCC